AGCGAACGCUGGCGGCGUGCUUAACACAUGCAAGUCGAACGUGAAAGUAGCAAUACGAGUAAAGUGGCGCACGGGUGAGUAACACGUAGGCAAUCUACCUUAGAAUCUGGAAUAACAGGCCGAAAGGCUUGCUAAUACUGGAUAGAUCAAAAACUCUUGUAAAGGGAGAAUUGGGAAAGGGAGGCCGCAAGGUCCCUCGUUUUAAGAUGAGCCUGCGUCCCAUUAGCUAGUUGGUAGGGUAACGGCCUACCAAGGCGAUGAUGGGUAGCUGGUCUGAGAGGAUGAUCAGCCACACUGGAACUGAAACACGGUCCAGACUCCUACGGGAGGCAGCAGUGGGGAAUUUUGCGCAAUGGACGAAAGUCUGACGCAGCAACGCCGCGUGAGUGAAGAAGGCCUUCGGGUUGGUAA
rnacentral:rRNA from 1 species